UAUCACAUCAACAGGAAAGGUAACUAAGACAGUGUGUGGAGAAUCACUGUGAGCUCUACUUUAACACUGGACCGGGGGAUAGCAACUUUCUCAAACUUAAAAAGACCUAAGGAGGCUGGCUCACUUCCAGUGCAGGGAGGAAAGAUUUCAGAAAAUCAGGGUUUGAGGAGAGCUUCAAGAUAACCUAAGUCUUGUCGUUUCCAAACUUCGCUAAAUAGUAACUUCUGGGGAGGUGUUCCCAAAUGUUCAUGUCCCAUAUUUAAGGAAGUAGCUGAGAACCAGGAAGAGUAAGAAGGCAAGAAAGUCCAGGUGUGAGAAACAGCAGGAUCACUGCAGUAGGUGCAGAGUGGGGAGCUACAGAGAAGGGGCGGCAAAGGCUCCAGAGAAAACUCAUUAAGAACUACCCUCAAAAUCUGAGAAGAAAAUCCCCAAACAAAGACUGUAUGUAUGGAUGUUCAGAACUGCCUGCAGCCCAGCAAGGGUGUGGAGAUGGAGUGGCCUGGUAAUGAACCACAAGUUCGCAUUAGAUCAAGGAGAAGAGCAUCACUCUUCUAGCCUCAGAAAGACUCUAUCCUAUGGAGGUUAAUUUAGGUUACAUUACCAUAGAUGGAGUCUCAGUCCAAACCCAGGAUGUCCUCAAAACUCACGAUCCUCUUGCCUCAACCUCCUGUAGCCUGGGAUUAUAGACACGGACCUUCGCACAUUGAUUGACUACACUCAGUCUUAAUUCUCUUGUUCCUGAAUGAGGUAAUGCUGGGAUGAUAUGCAGAUAAAUAGACUUUAGAAAAAAAAGUUUUAAGGCAAGGUUUCAUGCUGUACCCCAGGCUUGCCUGGAACCCACUUUAUAUUCUAGGCUGGCCUUGAAUUCACAGCCAUUUCCUUCUCUAGACUUCUACGUGCUAGAACUGCAGGUAUGGCCUUUCACACCCAGCCCCAGAUGAAAAAGAAUUUUAACCUAAUUUAGAAAAAAAA
rnacentral:lncRNA from 1 species